CUCAUCGUUUGCAGAUCCUCUAGACCUGCGCAGACUGCAGUGCAGCGUUCUCCCUGGGCCUUCCCCGGGAGGGCCUGAGCGUCGCUUCCCCAGACGGUCUCCAUUUGCUCCUUGCAUUGUCAGUAGAGGAGUCCAGGAAGAGAAAGCACACAGCCUGAAGCAGUGUUUUCAGAGAACAGGCCGCUGAUAGCGACAACAUGACUGCUGGUCCUCACAUCGAGUGAAUGAGAAACUGCCAAUCUGCACACCCAAAAUACCAGGGUGCUUUCUCUACUCAGCUCUUCCCAAGUAUUGAGGUUUUCUCUGAACAGUGAAUUCAGUUCUGCCCCUUCAAAAGAUGCCUUCCCUCCACUUCAGCUUGAAGAGUCGUCCAGUUUCCAAGUCAGUCUGCGAGCACCAUGCCUGUCACCACCACUGCUCCCCCACAGUUUCAGUGACUGGAUCGGUGCUGGGGACUGUGACGCACGAGCACUGGCCCGUCAGUGAGCGGCCGGCCUGCCUUCCACCAGGGCUGCUGCACCUGCCCUGAGGUCCUCUUCCAGUGUCAGACUAGCCUUGCAAACAGCGCUUCUGUUGGACUUGCUUCCACAGCAGGCUCUGGCUCCAGCGGAAGCGAAGGUGGCUUUGGGAGCGGGGCUGCGCCUCCAGCACCUAGGGCAGAACAGAUGGUACGGACACUUGAGGCCAGAACCCCACUCUGAGUGUCACCAGCAAGUCCUAUAUUGUUGAACUAGUGAGGCUGGUAUCUGCAGCUGUGAAGAGACUAACAGAGCCACUGAGGCACCCCAGGUAACAGUGUCCUGCACAGCUGGCCCUGAGCAAGCCAGUGCGACACUGGAUGUGCAGGUGCCAGCCUCCUGCUGGCCCGGGGGCUCGCACCCACGCGGUCUUCCUGGAGCUCUGGGUAGCCUCCUACCUGAG